UGGUGGAGCGAUUUGUCUGGUUAAUUCCGAUAACGAACAAGACUCUAGCCUGCUAAAUAGACGGGCGAUCCCUUGUGGGUCGAUCCGAUUUGCUUCUUAGAGGGACAAGUGGCGUUCCUAGCCACGCGAAAUUGAGCAAUAACA
rnacentral:rRNA from 1 species